rnacentral:rRNA from 1 species
CGAACGAUUAAAGCUCUCUUCGGAGAGUGCAUAGAGUGGCGCACGGGUGAGUAACACGUAAGUAAUCUACCUUCGAGUGGGGAAUAACGUCCGGAAACGGACGCUAAUACCGCAUAAUGCAGCGGCAUCGUAAGAUGACAGUUGUUAAAGGAGCAAUUCGCUUGAAGAGGAGCUUGCGGCAGAUUAGCUAGUUGGUAAGGUAAUGGCUUACCAAGGCUACGAUCUGUAACCGGUCUAAGAGGACGGUCGGUCACACUGACACUGAAUAACGGGUCAGACUCCUACGGGAGGCAGCAGUCGGGAAUUUUGGGCAAUGGGCGAAAGCCUGACCCAGCAACGCCGCGUGAAGGAUGAAGUAUUUCGGUAUGUAAACUUCGAAAGAAUGGGAAGAAUCAAUGACGGUACCAUUUAUAAGGUCCGGCUAACUACGUGCCAGCAGCCGCGGUAAUACGUAGGGACCAAGCGUUGUUCGGAUUUACUGGGCGUAAAGGGCGCGUAGGCGGCUUAACAAGUCACUUGUGAAAUCUCCGGGCUUAACUCGGAACGGCCAAGUGAAACUGUCAAGCUAGAGUGCAGAAGGGGCAAUCGGAAUUCUUGGUGUAGCGGUGA